rnacentral:rRNA from 1 species
GUGUCAGCAGCCGCGGUAAUACGUAGGGUGCGAGCGUUGUCCGGAAUUAUUGGGCGUAAAGAGCUCGUAGGCGGCCUGUCACGUCGGAUGUGAAAACCCGGGGCUCAACCCCGGGCCUGCAUUCGAUACGGGCAGGCUAGAGUUCGGCAGGGGAGACUGGAAUUCCUGGUGUAGCGGUGAAAUGCGCAGAUAUCAGGAGGAACACCGGUGGCGAAGGCGGGUCUCUGGGCCGAUACUGACGCUGAGGAGCGAAAGCGUGGGGAGCGAACAGGAUUAGAUACCCUCGUAGUCC